rnacentral:lncRNA from 1 species
CUACACAAUUUUGUUUUUUUUGUUAUGAAAAGACAUAACAACCCAAAUUUAUUUGUUUAUGUUUUAAGCUUUGCGUCAGCUCAGCUAGUCUUUCUUUCUUCCUCUAGAUAUUGUGCAGCACUACUUGAUGAAUUAUGUCCUGUUAACUCAAAAAAAGCAAGAACCAGCUUUAGAAUAAAGCCACAAAGGGUUCCAAAAAGAAUAUAUAUAAAUAAAUAAAAGCACUGCACAAAAACGAAAAAAUAAAGUGAAGAAACAACAACCACAACAAGGAGUCAGAUGAGGCUUCAGAACUUGUCCUGCUGCAACCGCUAUUUGCAGAAGUUGAAAAGCAAAAACAAGAAAUUGAAGAAGAAAGUUCGUACCUGCACUCAUUUCUAUCUUCCACACCAAACAGAGCCACUGUGGAUUGUACCUUCUUUGUAGUGUAGUUAGAGGUCACGUGGGAAGCCGACACAGUUCAAUCAAUAACAAGUGAACUGCCCACUUGACUUAACUGAAAACACACACAAAAAUUAUGAUAUUAAUAAUAACACCUGUUUGGAUGAAAUUAUUGUGUUGGUA